UAGGGAAUCUUCGGCAAUGGGGGCAACCCUGACCGAGCAACGCCGCGUGAGUGAAGAAGGUUUUCGGAUCGUAAAGCUCUGUUGUAAGUCAAGAACGAGUGUGAGAGUGGAAAGUUCACACUGUGACGGUAGCUUACCAGAAAGGGACGGCUAACUACGUGCCAGCAGCCGCGGUAAUACGUAAGUCCCGAGCGUUGUCCGGAUUUAUUGGGCGUAAAGCGAGCGCAGGCGGUUUGAUAAGUCUGAAGUUAAAGGCUGUGGCUCAACCAUAGUUCGCUUUGGAAACUGUCAAACUUGAGUGCAGAAGGGGAGAGUGGAAUUCCAUGUGUAGCGGUGAAAUGCGUAGAUAUAUGGAGGAACACCGGUGGCGAAAGCGGCUCUCUGGUCUGUAACUGACGCUGAGGCUCGAAAGCGUGGGGAGCGAACAGGAUUAGAUACCCUGGUAGUCCACGCCGUAAACGAUGAGUGCUAGGUGUUGGAUCCUUUCCGGGAUUCAGUGCCGCAGCUAACGCAUUAAGCACUCCGCCUGGGGAGUACGACCGCAAGGUUG
rnacentral:rRNA from 1 species